rnacentral:misc_RNA from 1 species
UUUCCGUAGGUGAACCUGCGGAAGGAUCAUUACCGAGUUAGGGUGUGCAUAACGCCCGACCUCCCAACCCUUUGUCUAUGAUAACACAAGUUGCUUCGGCGCGCCGAGGGGUCGUACCCUCGCCUGUCCUCGGGACGGGAGCGUGCCCGCCGAUGGCCUCCACUUAACACUUGAACCCAAAACCUGUCGUCUGAACAUUUGUGAUUACUAUUAAUCAAAAACAAAACUUUCAACAACGGAUCUCUUGGUUCUGGCAUCGAUGAAGAACGCAGC